GGACUACACGGGUAUCUAAUCCUGUUUGCUCCCCUAGCUUUCGUUCCUCAGCGUCAGUUGCGGUCCAGCGAGCCGCCUUCGCCACGGGUGUUCCUGCAGAUCUCUACGCAUUUCACCGCUACACCUGCAAUUCCACUCGCCUCUCCCGCACUCGAGCACGGCAGUUUUGAAAGCAGCCUCUGAGUUAAGCCCAGAGAUUUCACUCCCAACUUGCCGCACCGCCUACGAACCCUUUACGCCCAGUAAUUCCGAGCAACGCUGGCCCCCUACGUAUUACCGCGGCGGCUGGCAC
rnacentral:rRNA from 1 species